GACGAACGCUGGCGGCGUGCUUAACACAUGCAAGUCGAACGGAAAGACCCUGCUUUUGUGGGGUGCUCGAGUGGCGAACGGGUGAGUAACACGUGAGUAACCUGCCCUUGACUUUGGGAUAACUUCAGGAAACUGGGGCUAAUACCGGAUAGGAGCUCCUGCUGCAUGGUGGGGGUUGGAAAGUUUCGGCGGUUGGGGAUGGACUCGCGGCUUAUCAGCUUGUUGGUGGGGUAGUGGCUUACCAAGGCUUUGACGGGUAGCCGGCCUGAGAGGGUGACCGGCCACAUUGGGACUGAGAUACGGCCCAGACGCCUACGGGAGGCAGCAGUGGGGAAUAUUGCACAAUGGGCGGAAGCCUGAUGCAGCAACGCCGCGUGCGGGAUGACGGCCUUCGGGUUGGAAACCGCUUUCGCCUGUGACGAAGCGUGAGUGACGGUAAUGGUAAAGAAGCACCGGCUAACUACGUG
rnacentral:rRNA from 1 species